GACGAACGCUGGCGGCGUGCUUAACACAUGCAAGUCGAACGGGCCUGCCUGGCUUUGGUUGGGUGGGUGAGUGGCGAACGGGUGAGUAACACGUGAGUAACCUGCCCUCUUCUCUUGGAUAACUGCUUGAAAGGGCGGCUAAUACGGGAUGUUCUGGCUGCCUCGCAUGGGGUGGUUUGGAAAGAUUCGGCCUGGUUUUGGUUGUUUUGGUGGGGGAUGGGCUCGCGGCUUAUCAGCUUGUUGGUGGGGUGAUGGCCUACCAAGGCGGUGACGGGUAGCCGGCCUGAGAGGGUGGACGGUCACACUGGGACUGAGACACGGCCCAGACUCCUGCGGGAGGCAGCAGUGGGGGAUUUUGCACAAUGGGCGCAAGCCUGAUGCAGCGACGCCGCGUGAGGGAUGGAGGCCUUCGGGUUGUGAACCUCUGUCGCCGGUGAUGUAGGCUCUGCUUUGUGGGUGGGGUUGACGUAGCCGGGU
rnacentral:rRNA from 1 species